UGGAAACACAUGGGUAUUGCACAAGG
rnacentral:piRNA from 1 species